rnacentral:rRNA from 1 species
UACGUAGGGGGCAAGCGUUGUCCGGAAUUAUUGGGCGUAAAGAGCGCGUAGGCGGUCCGAUAAGUCGGCUGUGAAAGUCCAGGGCUCAACCCUGGAAAGCCGGCCGAUACUGUCGGACUAGAGUCCGGAAGAGGCGAGUGGAAUUCCCGGUGUAGCGGUGAAAUGCGUUGAUAUCGUAAGGAACACCUGUGGCGAAAGCGGCUUACUGGGUCUUUUCUGACGCUGAUGCACGAAAGCUAGGGGAGCAAACGGG